GAUGAACGCUGGCGGCGUGCCUAAUACAUGCAAGUCGAGCGAACUGAUUAGAAGCUUGCUUCUAUGACGUUAGCGGCGGACGGGUGAGUAACACGUGGGCAACCUGCCUGUAAGACUGGGAUAACUUCGGGAAACCGAAGCUAAUACCGGAUAGGAUCUUCUCCUUCAUGGGAGAUGAUUGAAAGAUGGUUUCGGCUAUCACUUACAGAUGGGCCCGCGGUGCAUUAGCUAGUUGGUGAGGUAACGGCUCACCAAGGCAACGAUGCAUAGCCGACCUGAGAGGGGGAUCGGCCACACUGGGACUGGGACACGGCCAAGACUCCUACGGGAGGCAGCAGUAGGGAAUCUUCCGCAAUGGACGAAAGUCUGACGGAGCAACGCCGCGUGAGUGAUGAAGGCUUUCGGGUCGUAAAACUCUGUUGUUAGGGAAGAACAAGUACGAGAGUAACUGCUCGUACCUUGACGGUACCUAACCAGAAAGCCACGGCUAACUACGUGCCAGCAGCCGCCGCAGUAA
rnacentral:rRNA from 1 species